rnacentral:lncRNA from 14 species
CAGCUAGGCUCUGGGUCCCCGGUGCACGCUGGGGCUGGUGGGGACCGAGCGCCUCGUGGACGAGCAUGGCGGGCUCGCUGCCUCCCUGCGUGGUUGACUGCGGCACCGGGUAUUGCCAUCCGAGAGUCGGCAAAGGUAGUUGACCAAGCCCAGAGGAGGGUGUUGAGAGGAGUUGAUGACCUUGACUUCUUCAUAGGGGAUGAAGCCAUUGAUAAACCUACCUACGCUACCAAGUGGCCUAUACGACAUGGCAUCGUUGAAGACUGGGAUCUUAUGGAAAGGUUCAUGGAACAGGUGGUCUUUAAGUAUCUCCGUGCCGAACCUGAGGACCAUUAUUUUUUAAUGGUGAGUAGUUGGAACCAAGAGAAAUAUAUUCCUGCGAAUUCCAAAGUACUUGGAUUUUUUUAAACAUAAAGUCCUCCUAAAGACUUUGGCAUGAAUCAGGCUGCUUUUAGGGCCAAAUACCAGAAAGUGCAAGAAAAAUAUCAAGGACCUAAAAGGCUUAGCACCCUGUAGCUCAGGAAGGCCGGAGCCUGGCUGCCUUGGGCCGCUCAGUUCAACAGCUUGGAGACAGACUGGUCUUUUAGUAUGGCAUCUUCUUGUGGCUCUCUGGUGCCUCAGGACAGCUGUCCAAUUCUCUGUGUUGCUACUUCAGAGUCUUCGUGUAUGUCUGCUCAGUAGUGAAGGAAACUUCCUGAAGCUUAGCAGCCAUUCUGAGGAACCUUCCUGGUGGUUUUGCCCAGUUCUUGAGUUGUCAGUGGGUCUCUUAGACUGAGAGGAGGGGUGGCUACUGUAACCUCCAGCACAGGGUCCAGAGAGGGAGGCUUGGGUGGGAAGCUCUUGUGUCCUCUGUGUCCUGGAGAAGUAAGUGAGUGUUAUUCUGUCAUAGCAGAGGAUGUCACUUUGCAGUGUUUAGAUCCUACUGUAAGAGGGAGCUGAUCUGAGCCAUGGACUCUGCUUAUGACACUUAAGUGUCCUGUGAAACAAAUCAGCAUAGAGAAAUAAGGAGAAGCACCUCUCGGCAUCUAUGAGAUCUGAUUGUUCUAUUCAACAAUGUUUCCUUCUGUGGAGUAGCCUUUUUACAUUAAAAGUAGUCCAAGGUAGGGGUUGGGGAUUUAGCUCAGUGGCCCUGGGUUCGGUCCCCAGCUCCGAAAAAAAAAAAAGAAAAAAAAAAAGAAAAAAAAAAAAAAAAAAAAAAAGAAAAAAAAAGUAGUCCAAGGUAUAAAAUGCUUACUUCAUAAACAGCAACUCUAUACAACAUAAGCUGCAUAUUAAACUCACAUGAAUAAGCUUUGGAUUUCUCUAUGCAAGUAUAUUGUUAAAUGGUUUCAAAUUCAGUUAUAAUUAUUUCCUACACACACUCUUUAGAGUUGUCUGGUUUAGAAGGUGGUAACUACAAGGCCAAUAGUUAUGGAAUCUACAUGUUUAAUGUCUAUCAAGGCAAGUCUUUGAG